rnacentral:lncRNA from 1 species
CGCGUCCGGUAGCUCAGAGUGAAUGGCAGCUGCUUUCUUGUCCUGUAGGGUGGCUUUUGGCACUCGGGUGACGAUUUUAAAAUUACUUUUGCUUUCAAUAACUAAUAUUAAGAUUAUAAACGCAAAACCUGGUUAUUCUUAAGUAGUAUAUACCCUGGUUUUUUAAAAAAACAUUCUAAGGGGAUUUUUAAGAUAAGUUAAAUUCUAUAGAUCACAUUUACAACUUUAAUGUAUUUUUAUUUUCUUCUUAAACGACUCAAUGACUUGAAAAAAAUCCAAGAACUUAGUUCCACUGAUAUGUUAAAUCUAAAAGUAUGAUUGUAAAUCUUAAAAACCUCAUAAUCUCAAUAUUACUUAGAGGUGUGGUUAAAUUGUUAUAUACAUGUCGAUUUAUAAUCACUAGUCUGAAUCAGUUACUGUAUUUUCAUUUUAAAAAUGGAAUUGCAAAAUUUAACAUAUUACAUACUUUAGUGUGUUUAGAGUCUCAAACACUGCAAAUAUUUAACAUGCCAAAUUAAAUGGAUAAUUUCCGACUAAUGGAAAAUAAUGCUAUGACUUUGAUUUACUUGUUUCUAUAAUUAAUCCUAAUCUUCCAGGGAUUACAGGUACUUAUCCACUAAGGAAAGAAUUUUCAAGAAAACAGAAUCCAUGAAUGGAUUGAAGAAUAAGGGUGUGGUGGCACUCUCCUGUAAUCCUAGGCCAAGGCAGAAGGAUCACAAGUUCUAGGCUAGCCUGGGUAAUUUAGUGAGACCCUGUCUCAAAAUGAAAUUUUAAAAAAGGACUGGGAAUGUAGUAUAGCACUUCUGGGUUCAAUCCCCAGUAACACACACACAAAAAUAACAACACUAGAUUGCAGAACUGAUUUGUUCAUUCAUGGCCAGUAGUUUAAAAAUCAGAAUAAAGAGAAUAAGAAGUAAGUGUAUGUCAAUAGAGUAAGGAGUAUGUUAUUGUGAGAUUUCUGUUUCAGCUAUAAAUCUAUAUAUCGCUGUAUAGAGUGUAUAUACACUGUUAUACACGUAUAAAUUCAUAUUUUCAUGUUUAUAUAUAUAUGUAUAUACUUGCAUUUCUGUGUAUUAACUCAGGAUAUAAAAAUAACCUGAUAAUCAUUCAGUGAGCCAAAAGAUUACCUCAGUUAUACUUUGGGCAGAUUUGAGCCUGCUAGCUUCAAGGAUGCUGCAACGAAGUAGUUUGCUGACUGAAGAAAAGUGUACUUUAAAAAGUGAGAUACAAAUGCUUGUGAUUGAACAGAGGUAUGGUGUAAAUA